AUGACCCAGCACCACGCGAUGCGAGGAGGGCUAGCACGUUCGUUCUUCGCCCCUGCCGCCAGAGCCGCCGCGCCCUGCUGUCCGUCGCCCCUGCUGCUCCGCCGCGCCUUGCCGUCCGUCCCCCCUGCUGCUGCGCGGCGUCCCCCCCUCCCCUCUCCCCUCCUGCCGCCCUCCAUUGCUGGCAAGGAAGAGCUAGACAGAACUGGGGGGCUUCAGAGCAAGGCAAACGAAGAAAGGGGCAUAAGAUCCAAGGCGAGUGAACUGGGGGGGUUAAAAUCAAUUCUCCCGAUGCGGCGAUCACAUACCUGGUAAAAAAAAUUGAUUUUACUCCAGGCUCUAGUUGUAAUUUUGAAGCAACGAGCAAAGUGCAUACUAGCUGCAAGCCUGCAAAGGGGAGGGGGGAUAUUUAGACAGACAAGUCUUACAUGAUUUACAUGUUGGCUAUUCAAGUCAACAAUAGUAUACGGAGCAUACAGCUUUCGCUGCCGACAGGACUUCUCUGCCUUUAGUCAAGUCUUAUUUUUUGCUUUCCAGCUAAAGUCACCAUCAGAGCAGAAAUUGGCUUUUGUGUACACAGAUACAGUAUAUAGCAGGUCCUCUGCCUCUGCUUCUUCAUCAGGGGGGGUGAAUUAGUGCAAAUCUUGCUAGAAUAUACUGAAAGAGAAGAACAAACAAAGGAUCUGAAUCUGUUGCACGCAGACUACGAUGUGAGGGCUGCCUCUGGGAGGCUAAUGGAGGUGGCUGUUGGGAUGUGAGAGCCAGACAGGACCAAACUUCUUUGGCGAAAUGGGCAAUGCAGAAUCAAAUGGUUGCAAUUCGAGCACUUGAUCACAAAGCUUGCAAGCAUCAUCAUGGUCCAUCCCAAUUCCCAAGGCUGUUAGUGAGAAUCUUUUUUGUAACUUUUUUGAGAAUCCCCAAGGCUGUUAGUCAAUCAGCUGUACAUGCACCAUAUGGAGAACUGUCACUUCCCUUCCACCUUGGCUCUCCACUCAAUAAAUUCUGCUUCUGUGGAAUUGUAGCGAGCAAUUGGAAAUCAUAAGCAGUCUUUGCUGAAUACUGCCCAUCAGUGGUAAGCUUCCUGGAAACUGAGCGUGCUUGUUGACCAAGAACGACACUCUGGGUCAAGUUUCAAAGUCCAAGGCAGUGCAUAAGUUGAGCUGUAAUGAAUAAAAUAGGCAGACAAUUGAUCAAGGAAAAAAAACCCACUGUCAAUCCUCUAUUAAUUUUCAACACGAACGACUAGUUUGCAUUCUGUUGACUGACCCAUCAUUCAGCACUACAAUGGCGUUGGGUGUGUACCUUUCAAUCAGCCUAUCUAGUGUAAAAGAAGGACCCUUACUAAUUUGAGGUGGAGUCUUGUUGCUCGCCAACCUAAAACCUCUAUAUCCAAGCACCACCACGAGUUACUCAGAAAGUUCAAACUCCCAUGCUCCUUCCAGCUCUGGGUGGCUGGGUAUUCUUCCAAGCUCCCAUCCAUGGCUCCUCUCGUCUUCCUACUCCUAUUCGGCCAAAUCCUACUCUGCACAGCCGUCGACACCAUCACCUCCACCACACCGUUGUCCGGGUCACAGCAGAUUGUGUCCCAGGGCGGCAAAUUCACCUUGGGCUUCUACUCCCCACCGCAAGGUAACACCACCUCUAGCAAUUACUACAUAGCCAUAUGGUACAGCAACAUACCACUGCCAACCACCGUGUGGACGGCAACCACCAACGUGCCGGUGUCUGACCCGACCACCGCCUCCUUGGAAAUCACCAGCGACGGCAACCUUGUCCUCCUUGAUCAAGCCAAGAACCGACUGCUAUGGUCGACCAAUGUAAGUAUAGCAUCCAACUCCACCGUGGCCACCAUCAGGGACAGUGGUAGCCUCGAGCUCAUUGAUGCCUCCAAUUCAUCGAUAGUUUACUGGCAAAGCAUAGACCAUCCAACAAACACCUUGCUUCCAGGGGUAAAGCUCGGGCUGAACAAAAUCACUGGUGUUAGCCAGAGGCUUGUUGCUUGGAAGAGUGAGGCAGAUCCAUCUCCUGGGUUGUUCUCGCUGGAGCAUGACCCAAACGGCACACCACUUUAUUUCGCGCAGUGGAAUGAUUCCAUAAGCUACUGGGCUAGUACCCCUUGGGACUUCGAUCUCCCGGGGAUGGUGGCCUUGCGAUUCGUCAACAGCUCCACAGAAAGUUACCUCUUGUACUCGACGAAAGACGACUCGGUCAUCACACACAUCAUCAUCGACAUUAGCGGGCAGCUCAGGUUGUUGACAUGGCUGGAUUCCUCACAGCAGUGGAUAUUGAUCUGGACCCAGCCACAUACGGAGUGUGAGGUGUAUGCGCGCUGUGGGGCAUACGGCAGCUGCAACCUCAAUGCCCUGCCGUUCUGCAACUGUGUCAAGGGGUUCAGUCAGAAUGACUGGGACCUUGACGAUUACAGUGGUGGGUGCAAGAGGAACACACCAUUGCAGUGCCAGACCCACUCGACUUCUGCACAUUCUCGGUCUGAUAAGUUCUAUGCCAUGGAAGAUGUGAGGGUACCUGCUAAUGCUCGGGGUGCAGUGGCAACAAGCUCUCAGGAAUGUCAGGUGGCUUGUCUGAAAAAUUGCUCCUGCUCUGCUUACACUUACAAUUACACUGGGUGCUUUGUUUGGCAUGGGGACCUGCAGGUUAACCUCGGAGAAGGAUACAGCAAAUUUUUUGGAGAUGGCACAUUCUUCCUCAGGCUUGCAGCAUCCGAGCUACCAGAUCAGCAAAGGAAGAAAACAACGAUCAUUGGCUCAGUUAUUGGUGGAGUUGCUGCAUUUUUUAUAAUCCUUGCAAUUGUGUUGUUCUUUCUAUCUCGGACGUGCCGCCGAGACAGGACUUUUUGGAUAUCCAAGACUGCUGGGGCCGCACUGACUGACUUCAGAUACAGUGAUCUGCUGGAUGAUAUUCAAAGCAUUGAUUCACUUCUUCUCGAUCUGUUAACUCUAAGAGUGGCUACAAAUGACUUUGGCGAAGGAACUAUGCUUGGUAAAGGAGGUUUUGGAAUGGUUCAUAAGGGAGUCCUACCUGACGGUAAACAAAUAGCAGUAAAAAGGCUAUCUCACAGUUCCAGACAAGGAAUAGGUGAACUGAAAAGUGAACUAGUCCUUGUUGCUAAGCUUCGCCACAGGAAUCUUGUGAGCCUAAUUGGCGUUUGUUUGGAAGAACAAGAGAAAAUACUUGUGUAUGAAUUUAUGCCCAACAGAAGCCUUGAUACCAUUCUUUUUGAUGUUGAGAAACGCAAAGACCUAGAUUGGGGAAGGAGGUUCAAGAUUAUCAGUGGAGUUGCUAGGGGAUUACAAUAUCUCCACGAAGAUUCUCAAUUGAAGAUAGUUCACCGGGACCUGAAAGCAAGCAACAUUCUGUUGGACUUUGAUUACAACCCUAAGAUUUCUGAUUUUGGCUUGGCAAAGAUAUUUGGAGGGGAUCAAUCAGAAGAUGUCACUAGACGUAUUGCCGGGACAUAUGGAUACAUGUCGCCUGAAUAUGCCAUGCAUGGUCAAUACUCAGCAAAAUCGGAUGCGUUCAGCUUCGGCGUUUUGGUUUUGGAGAUCGUCACGGGAAGAAGAAACAACGGCUCCUGCAACUCCGAGCAAUAUGUUUAUCUCGUAAAUCUUGUAUGGGAACACUGGACCAGGGGAAAUGUCGUCGAGUUGAUCGAUCCAUCCCUUAGCGGCCAUCCUUCUCACGUUGACCAGGUGCUGAAAUGCAUCCGAACCGGGCUGCUGUGUGUGCAGAACAGACCUGAAGAUAGGCCGGCAAUGUCGUCGGUAAAUGCCAUGCUUACCAGCCAGAGUGUCCGUCUCCCUUCUGUUUCCAUGCCAGCCUUCUGUGACAGAUUGAGUGGAUGCAGUGAUAAUUCAGAAUCGGAGUCUUCGAAUGGAAUGACCAUCACAAAGCUUGAGCCAAGAUGAGCCUUGAAGCAGUUGCUGAACCAGUUUGUACUAGUGUUACUUUACUAUCCCGUCCAUCCCAUAAUAUAAGAGCGUUUCUGACACUACACUAGUGUUGAAAAUGCUCUUAUAUUAUGGGACGGAGGGAGUAUCUCCUAGAGAUGAGCUUGAUGUACCUGGUGCUUAUGUUUCAUGGUUAUGAUGAAAAGUCUUAUGUGCCUCCAAGGUUAUCUUCAGUAUCAGUUUUGCUGUGAAGUGAGAUUAUGGUAUUUCUGCUGGAGAAAAUGUCAGUGGCAUUAUUAGCUGCGAUAUUUGGCUCAUACAAAUACAUGUAUCAAUAGUUAAUUUAGCAGCCUCUCCAUUUUGGCUAUCUUCUAAGAUUAGCUUUGGUUCUGUAAAAUUUCACUUGCAAUAUAGACAAGGUUUUCAUAUGGAUCUUGGUGGUUUUCUAUGG
rnacentral:rRNA from 1 species